rnacentral:rRNA from 1 species
CCUACGGGAGGCAGCAGUGGGGAAUUUUGGACAAUGGGCGAAAGCCUGAUCCAGCAAUGCCGCGUGAGUGAAGAAGGCCUUCGGGUUGUAAAGCUCUUUUGUCAGGGAAGAAACGGUGAGGGCUAAUAUCUCUUGCUAAUGACGGUACCUGAAGAAUAAGCACCGGCUAACUACGUGCCAGCAGCCGCGGUAAUACGUAGGGUGCAAGCGUUAAUCGGAAUUACUGGGCGUAAAGCGUGCGCAGGCGGUUUUGUAAGUCUGUCGUGAAAUCCCCGGGCUCAACCUGGGAAUUGCGAUGGAGACUGCAAGGCUAGAAUCUGGCAGAGGGGGGUAGAAUUCCACGUGUAGCAGUGAAAUGCGUAGAGAUGUGGAGGAACACCGAUGGCGAAGGCAGCCCCCUGGGUCAAGAUUGACGCUCAUGCACGAAAGCGUGGGGAGCAAACAGGAUUAGAUACCCUGGUAGUCCACGCCCUAAACGAUGUCUACUAGUUGUCGGGUUUUAAUUAACUUGGUAACGCAGCUAACGCGUGAAGUAGACCGCCUGGGGAGUACGGUCGCAAGNUUAAAACUCAAAGGAAUUGACCGGNNGAGAGNGCGAGACGACGACGAGGGAGAGG